UUUAUGGAGAGUUUGAUCCUGGCUCAGGAUGAACGCUGGCGGCGUGCCUAAUACAUGCAAGUCGAGCGAACGGAUGAGAAGCUUGCUUCUCUGAUGUUAGCGGCGGACGGGUGAGUAACACGUGGAUAACCUACCUAUAAGACUGGGAUAACUUCGGGAAACCGGAGCUAAUACCGGAUAAUAUUUUGAACCGCAUGGUUCAAAAGUGAAAGACGGUCUUGCUGUCACUUAUAGAUGGAUCCGCGCUGCAUUAGCUAGUUGGUAAGGUAACGGCUUACCAAGGCAACGAUGCAUAGCCGACCUGAGAGGGUGAUCGGCCACACUGGAACUGAGACACGGUCCAGACUCCUACGGGAGGCAGCAGUAGGGAAUCUUCCGCAAUGGGCGAAAGCCUGACGGAGCAACGCCGCGUGAGUGAUGAAGGUCUUCGGAUCGUAAAACUCUGUUAUUAGGGAAGAACAUAUGUGUAAGUAACUGUGCACAUCUUGACGGUACCUAAUCAGAAAGCCACGGCUAACUACGUGCCAGCAGCCGCGGUAAUACGUAGGUGGCAAGCGUUAUCCGGAAUUAUUGGGCGUAAAGCGCGCGUAGGCGGUUUUUUAAGUCUGAUGUGAAAGCCCACGGCUCAACCGUGGAGGGUCAUUGGAAACUGGAAAACUUGAGUGCAGAAGAGGAAAGUGGAAUUCCAUGUGUAGCGGUGAAAUGCGCAGAGAUAUGGAGGAACACCAGUGGCGAAGGCGACUUUCUGGUCUGUAACUGACGCUGAUGUGCGAAAGCGUGGGGAUCAAACAGGAUUAGAUACCCUGGUAGUCCACGCCGUAAACGAUGAGUGCUAAGUGUUAGGGGGUUUCCGCCCCUUAGUGCUGCAGCUAACGCAUUAAGCACUCCGCCUGGGGAGUACGACCGCAAGGUUGAAACUCAAAGGAAUUGACGGGGACCCGCACAAGCGGUGGAGCAUGUGGUUUAAUUCGAAGCAACGCGAAGAACCUUACCAAAUCUUGACAUCCU
rnacentral:rRNA from 1 species